rnacentral:misc_RNA from 1 species
UUAAGUUCAGCGGGUAGCCCUACCUGAUUUGAGGUCAGAGUCAUAAGUGCGCGAUGGCGGGUUAUAAGCCAGCUUAAGACUACAAACAAGACGAAACUUAUUACGUCUGCCGUGGAAGUCCUAAUCCAACUAAUGCUUUUAAGACGAGCCAUUACUGGCACACGUCCAAGUCCAAGCCACCCUCAGAUCAGAAACCUGAA